AUUGAACGCUGGCGGCAUGCCUUACACAUGCAAGUCGAACGGCAGCAUAGAGAGCUUGCUCUCUGAUGGCGAGUGGCGAACGGGUGAGUAAAGCAUCGGAACGUACCGUGUAGUGGGGGAUAACGUAGCGAAAGUUACGCUAAUACCGCAUACGCACUGAGGUGGAAAGCAGGGGAUCGCAAGACCUUGCGCUAUACGAGCGGCCGAUGUCAGAUUAGCUAGUUGGCAGGGUAAAGGCCUACCAAGGCGACGAUCUGUAGCGGGUCUGAGAGGAUGAUCCGCCUCACUGGGACUGAGACACGGCCCAGACUCCUACGGGAGGCAGCAGUGGGGAAUUUUGGACAAUGGGGGCAACCCUGAUCCAGCCAUGCCGCGUGAGUGAAGAAGGCCUUCGGGUUGUAAAGCUCUUUCGGCCGGGAAGAAAUCGCACAGGCUAAUACUCUGUGUGGAUGACGGUACCGGCAUAAGAAGCACCGGCUAACUACGUGCCAGCCGCCGCAGUAC
rnacentral:rRNA from 1 species